GAUGAAGAACGUAGCGAAAUGCGAUACGUAAUGUGAAUUGCAAAUUCAGUGAAUCAUCGAGUCUUUGAACGCACAUUGCGCCCCCUGGUAUUCCGGGGGGCAUGCCUGUCCGAGCGUCAUUGCUGCCCUCAAGCACGGCUUGUGUGUUGGGCCCCGUCCUCCGAUUCCGGGGGACGGGCCCGAAAGGCAGCGGCGGCACCGCGUCCGGUCCUCGAGCGUAUGGGGCUUUGUCACCCGCUCUGUAGGCCCGGCCGGCGCUUGCCGAUCAACCCAAAUUUUUAUCCAGGUUGACCUCGGAUCAGGUAGGGAUACCCGCUGAACUUAAGCAUAUCAAUAAACGGAGGA
rnacentral:misc_RNA from 1 species